rnacentral:rRNA from 1 species
GAUUAAGUUAUUAAGGGCGCACGGUGGAUGCCUUGGCACUAGAAGCCGAUGAAGGACGUUACUAACGACGAUAUGCUUUGGGGAGCUGUAAGUAAGCUUUGAUCCAGAGAUUUCCGAAUGGGGAAACCCAGCAUGAGUUAUGUCAUGUUAUCGAUAUGUGAAUACAUAGCAUAUCAGAAGGCACACCCGGAGAACUGAAACAUCUUAGUACCCGGAGGAAGAGAAAGAAAAUUCGAUUCCCUUAGUAGCGGCGAGCGAAACGGGAAGAGCCCAAACCAACAAGCUUGCUUGUUGGGGUUGUAGGACACUCUAUACGGAGUUACAAAGGACGACAUUAGACGAAUCAUCUGGAAAGAUGAAUCAAAGAAGGUAAUAAUCCUGUAGUCGAAAAUGUUGUCUCUCUUGAGUGGAUCCUGAGUACGACGGAGCACGUGAAAUUCCGUCGGAAUCUGGGAGGACCAUCUCCUAAGGCUAAAUACUCUCUAGUGACCGAUAGUGAACCAGUACCGUGAGGGAAAGGUGAAAAGCACCCCGGAAGGGGAGUGAAAUAGAACCUGAAACCGUGUGCUUACAAGUAGUCAGAGCCCGUUAAUGGGUGAUGGCGUGCCUUUUGUAGAAUGAACCGGCGAGUUACGAUUUGAUGCAAGGUUAAGCAGUAAAUGUGGAGCCGUAGCGAAAGCGAGUCUGAAUAGGGCGUUUAGUAUUUGGUCGUAGACCCGAAACCAGGUGAUCUACCCUUGGUCAGGUUGAAGUUCAGGUAACACUGAAUGGAGGACCGAACCGACUUACGUUGAAAAGUGAGCGGAUGAACUGAGGGUAGCGGAGAAAUUCCAAUCGAACCUGGAGAUAGCUGGUUCUCUCCGAAAUAGCUUUAGGGCUAGCCUCAAGUGAUGAUUAUUGGAGGUAGAGCACUGUUUGGACGAGGGGCCCCUCUCGGGUUACCGAAUUCAGACAAACUCCGAAUGCCAAUUAAUUUAACUUGGGAGUCAGAACAUGGGUGAUAAGGUCCGUGUUCGAAAGGGAAACAGCCCAGACCACCAGCUAAGGUCCCAAAAUAUAUGUUAAGUGGAAAAGGAUGUGGCGUUGCCCAGACAACUAGGAUGUUGGCUUAGAAGCAGCCAUCAUUUAAAGAGUGCGUAAUAGCUCACUAGUCGAGUGACACUGCGCCGAAAAUGUACCGGGGCUAAACAUAUUACCGAAGCUGUGGAUUGUCCUUUGGACAAUGGUAGGAGAGCGUUCUAAGGGCGUUGAAGCAUGAUCGUAAGGACAUGUGGAGCGCUUAGAAGUGAGAAUGCCGGUGUGAGUAGCGAAAGACGGGUGAGAAUCCCGUCCACCGAUUGACUAAGGUUUCCAGAGGAAGGCUCGUCCGCUCUGGGUUAGUCGGGUCCUAAGCUGAGGCCGACAGGCGUAGGCGAUGGAUAACAGGUUGAUAUUCCUGUACCACCUAUAAUCGUUUUAAUCGAUGGGGGGACGCAGUAGGAUAGGCGAAGCGUGCGAUUGGAUUGCACGUCUAAGCAGUAAGGCUGAGUAUUAGGCAAAUCCGGUACUCGUUAAGGCUGAGCUGUGAUGGGGAGAAGACAUUGUGUCUUCGAGUCGUUGAUUUCACACUGCCGAGAAAAGCCUCUAGAUAGAAAAUAGGUGCCCGUACCGCAAACCGACACAGGUAGUCAAGAUGAGAAUUCUAAGGUGAGCGAGCGAACUCUCGUUAAGGAACUCGGCAAAAUGACCCCGUAACUUCGGGAGAAGGGGUGCUCUUUAGGGUUAACGCCCAGAAGAGCCGCAGUGAAUAGGCCCAAGCGACUGUUUAUCAAAAACACAGGUCUCUGCUAAACCGUAAGGUGAUGUAUAGGGGCUGACGCCUGCCCGGUGCUGGAAGGUUAAGAGGAGUGGUUAGCUUCUGCGAAGCUACGAAUCGAAGCCCCAGUAAACGGCGGCCGUAACUAUAACGGUCCUAAGGUAGCGAAAUUCCUUGUCGGGUAAGUUCCGACCCGCACGAAAGGCGUAACGAUUUGGGCACUGUCUCAACGAGAGACU